UACAGAGGGGGCAAGCGUUGUUCGGAAUUACUGGGCGUAAAGGGCGCGUAGGCGGCCUGUUAAGUCGAACGUGAAAUCCCCGGGCUCAACCCGGGAACUGCGUCCGAUACUGGCAGGCUUGAAUCCGGGAGAGGGAUGCGGAAUUCCAGGUGUAGCGGUGAAAUGCGUAGAUAUCAGGAGGAACACCGGUGGCGAAGGCGGAUCUCUGGGCCUUAACUGACGCUCAGGUGCGAAAGCUAGGGGAGCGAACAGG
rnacentral:rRNA from 1 species